rnacentral:rRNA from 1 species
AGUGAACGCUGGCGGUAGGCCUAACACAUGCAAGUCGAACGGCAGCACAGUAAGAGCUUGCUCUUACGGUUGGCGAGUGGCGGAUGGGUGAGGCAUACAUCGGAAUCUACUUUUUCGUGGGUGAUAACGUAGGGAAACUUACGCUAAUACCGCAUACGACCUACGGGUUAAAGCAGUGGAUCUUCGGACCUUUCGCGAUUGAUUGAGCUGAUGUCGGAUUAGCUAGUUGGCGGGGUAAAGGCCCACCAAGGCGACGAUCCGUAGCUGGUCUGAGAGGAUGAUCAGCCACACUGGAACUGAGACACGGUCCAGACUCCUACGGGAGGCAGCAGUGGGGAAUAUUGGACAAUGGGCGAAAGCCUGAUCCAGCCAUACCGCGUGAGUGAAGAAGGCCUUCGGGUUGUAAAGCCCUUUUGUUGGGAAAGAAAAGCAGCAGGUUAAUACCCCGAUGUUCUGACGGUACCCAAAGAGUAAGCACCGGCUAACUUCGUG